ensembl:lncRNA
UGACAGAAAGGAGCCAUCAGUAUGACUCACACCACAGUGAACAUUUUCAGUGCCUCUGGGAAAGAACAAUUUCUACUAUCCAUAAGGGAUGCUAUUCAGCAGACCUUAAAAGGAGAGAGUCACUUUUGGACUCAUCUUUUCUACGUAAUCUAAAUCAUACCAAAUGCUUUGGACGUAUAUUAAAAAAAGUAUUUUUCCAAUAAUCUGAAAGUCGUGAAAAAAGUGCCCUUUAUUGAAGACCGGGGGUGUAAUAAUUUGAAUCGGAGAUAACAUGAUAAUUUCACCUUAAGUUUAUUUUACCAGAGGUAAGGCCUCACUACCUACCCAGAUAUAACUGGAGGGUCAUGGUUGUUGAGUAGCCUUGCUUUCAAAGGAAUGCGGUCUGUCAAACAAAAAUGAAAACUAAAUUUAUCAUUUUUUUAAUCUCAAGGAAAUAAUAAAGGAUCAAUUAAGUACA